rnacentral:rRNA from 1 species
UACGGGGGGGGCAAGCGUUGUUCGGAAUUACUGGGCGUAAAGGGCUCGUAGGUGGCCAACUAAGUCAGACGUGAAAUCCCUCAGCUUAACUGGGGAACUGCGUCUGAUACUGGAUGGCUUGAGUUUGGGAGAGGGAAGUGGAAUUCCAGGUGUAGCGGUGAAAUGCGUAGAUAUCUGGAGGAACACCGGUGGCGAAGGCGGCUUCCUGGACCGACACUGACGCUGAGGCGCGAAAGCCAGGGGAGCAAACGGG